UUAAGCGACUAAGCGUACACGGUGGAUGCCCUGGCAGUCAGAGGCGAUGAAGGACGUGCUAAUCUGCGAUAAGCGUCGGUAAGGUGAUAUGAACCGUUAUAACCGGCGAUUUCCGAAUGGGGAAACCCAGUGUGAUUCGUCACACUAUCAUUAACUGAAUCCAUAGGUUAAUGAGGCGAACCGGGGGAACUGAAACAUCUAAGUACCCCGAGGAAAAGAAAUCAACCGAGAUUCCCCCAGUAGCGGCGAGCGAACGGGGAGCAGCCCAGAGCCUGAAUCAGUGUGUGUGUUAGUGGAAGCGUCUGGAAAGGCGCGCGAUACAGGGUGACAGCCCCGUACACAAAAAUGCACAUGCUGUGAGCUCGAUGAGUAGGGCGGGACACGUGGUAUCCUGUCUGAAUAUGGGGGGACCAUCCUCCAAGGCUAAAUACUCCUGACUGACCGAUAGUGAACCAGUACCGUGAGGGAAAGGCGAAAAGAACCCCGGCGAGGGGAGUGAAAAAGAACCUGAAACCGUGUACGUACAAGCAGUGGGAGCACGCUUAGGCGUGUGACUGCGUACCUUUUGUAUAAUGGGUCAGCGACUUAUAUUCUGUAGCAAGGUUAACCGAAUAGGGGAGCCGAAGGGAAACCGAGUCUUAACUGGGCGUUAAGUUGCAGGGUAUAGACCCGAAACCCGGUGAUCUAGCCAUGGGCAGGUUGAAGGUUGGGUAACACUAACUGGAGGACCGAACCGACUAAUGUUGAAAAAUUAGCGGAUGACUUGUGGCUGGGGGUGAAAGGCCAAUCAAACCGGGAGAUAGCUGGUUCUCCCCGAAAGCUAUUUAGGUAGCGCCUCGUGAACUCAUCUCCGGGGGUAGAGCACUGUUUCGGCAAGGGGGUCAUCCCGACUUACCAACCCGAUGCAAACUGCGAAUACCGGAGAAUGUUAUCACGGGAGACACACGGCGGGUGCUAACGUCCGUCGUGAAGAGGGAAACAACCCAGACCGCCAGCUAAGGUCCCAAAGUCAUGGUUAAGUGGGAAACGAUGUGGGAAGGCCCAGACAGCCAGGAUGUUGGCUUAGAAGCAGCCAUCAUUUAAAGAAAGCGUAAUAGCUCACUGGUCGAGUCGGCCUGCGCGGAAGAUGUAACGGGGCUAAACCAUGCACCGAAGCUGCGGCAGCGACGCUUAUGCGUUGUUGGGUAGGGGAGCGUUCUGUAAGCCUGUGAAGGUGUACUGUGAGGUAUGCUGGAGGUAUCAGAAGUGCGAAUGCUGACAUAAGUAACGAUAAAGC
rnacentral:rRNA from 1 species